rnacentral:sRNA from 1 species
CGUUAAACUUUUCAUAAUCUUGCUCCAUUUAAUUUGCAAGGAAACUCAAUUUGAACUAUGACCUUAGCAGUUGAAGCGUAAAAGCAGAUUCACUGCCUCGACAGGGCUGCUCGGUGAAUUAAGUUCCAGACUAUUCCUCAACUAAAGACUGUUAGAUAACAGUGCAGAGCAAAAAACAGAAAUAUUCUUAAGGAAAAAUAUAGCUAUUUUAAACACUAGACACUUGUGAAAUCACAGUGCCUGCAAACAGUUGCUCGUCACAAAAGAUUCGCUUAACACGGAUCCCCUGGCUGGCGAUUUACGGCCCCGCUUUGUUCCAAUCCAAGACCCUUCAAGGGGGGUGUAGGGUGUGUUGUGGGUUGUCGGGAUUUGUGUGACUGGUUGCCUGGGCAGCGCGGCAUUCAUUCAUGGAUGGAAAAAAUGUGCGAGAACCUUUUGUUCUGCUGAAACUGGCGAUUUUUUAUAGAACUGUGUUUUGUUAAUUUUGUACAAGUCGCAUGAGCGACACUAGCAAUUUAGAAAAACAAGAAAGCAAGAAAACUAUGAACGAGGCGAAGUGAUGGCUGGAAAAUCCGAUGAUUGAUUGAAGGCUGUCCAAUUUUCAGAAAGACAACGAAUACCUACUCAUGAAAAGUGGGUUUUGCGGGGUAGAACUGUUGAGAAAGUUGCAAAUAAUUUGUGCAGCUCCUUGAUAAAUGGGUCGAGAAGUUGAACAAGUUUCUUUUUUCAAGCAUUGUGAAAUUCAAGUAUGCAAAUUGCAUAUAAAUUCAAAUAUAAGUG